GGAUAAUCUAUUAUGGCAUCAUGACCAUGGCAGUGUGCCACCUGUUUGGAGGAAGAGGCCACCGUGUCUGGAAACUGUGGCUUUAAAGGUGCUUUCAGAAAACUCCUGCCACAGCAGAAACGCUCCACAGCACUGUCUUCCAACUGACUGAAUAAUAGCGGAGAAUCUGACUUCUCCAGGACUUCUGUGGGCCUUUGUCUUUGAAGCAACACGACACAGGGCCUUGACAUUCUAAAAACGCUGCUUAGAAUUUGACUGUACCCAAAAGAGGAUGUGCUAAGCUCCACUGGUGAAAAGUGGCUCUGGCAGAAGGCGUCAGUGAAUGAUGGCCCUCAUGUUCAGUCCCAAGCACUUAACGCUCGCUGUGAAAAGCCCCUCACGGCUUUACUUCUGGAAGAUGGUUUGAGCUGCUAACUAAUGCCCUGAAGGAACAACAUGCACCUGUAACCCAAGACUGCAGCAGGUGUCGGAUGCUGAGCCUGCUUAAGGAGGCCAAAAGUGCCCAUUUCCCCGCAGUUAAGAUUGACUCUGAGAGUGGAGUACUAUAAUUCUAGCUUCGGGCACCACUUCUGGGUGGCUGCUUCCAAAAGCUUAGCUUCAAGAUGCACUGCUGGUCUUCCAUCCAAGUGGGAUGCAUUUCUUUGCUAGGCCUAGUUCCCUGGUAAUUCUGUCUUCUUUUCAUGGAGAGCGUGUGUGCUCAGAGAUGGCUGGUGAGUCAUGCGGUGUUCAAGUUUUUGAAUUUAUUCGGUAGCAAAUUAUAUGUUAAACACAUUUUAGCAUCUAUGGUGGGUUAUUACUGAGAACUGAAAAAUAAAUAAAGACCAAGUGGACGGCGUAUUCAAAGGAUCUUCCAUAAAAUUCAACUUUUAAACAUUUAUAAAUAUUUCAGCAAAACCUAAAUUUGAAUUCUCCUCGCUUUUGUGCAAUGGAAGGAACCUAAAUUCAUGGCCCUGAAAAACAGUAAUAUAUGGGGUGCUAACCACAGCAGAAAAACAAACUUUUCUUUUUAAUCAUUUUAAUUUUGA